rnacentral:rRNA from 1 species
GAUGAAUGCUGGCGGCGUGCCUAACACAUGCAAGUCGAGCGGCAGCGAGUUUUACACUGAAUUCUGGAAGCUUCUGAGUAGUACAGAAGAUUUAUUCAAGAGUUUCGUGUAAAAUGUCGGCGAGCGGCGGACGGCUGAGUAACGCGUAGGAAUUUGCCCCAAAGUGAGGAAUAACUGCCCGAAAGGGUAGCUAAUGCCGCAUAUGGUCUUCGGAUUAAAGCCUUCGGGCGCUUUGGGAGAAGCCUGCGUUGGAUUAGGUAGUUGGUAGGGUAAUGGCCUACCAAGCCGACGAUCCAUAGCUGGUCUGAGAGGAUGAUCAGCCAGACUGGAACUGAGACACGGUCCAGACUCCUACGGGAGGCAGCAGUGAGGAAUCUUCCACAAUGGGCGAAAGCCUGAUGGAGCAACGCCGCGUGAAGGAUGAAGGCCUUCGGGUUGUAAACUUCUUUUAUGAGUGAAGAAUAUGACGGUAACUCAUGAAUAAGCACCGGCUAACUACGUG